CACAGGAGAAGAGCAAUUGUUAGUAAUGAUCUAACUCAGUCAUAGAAAGCGGAAGCUAAACAGGAAGUUAAGUCACACAGCGUAGGCGAGAGGUGUUCAUGGGUAAUUCUAUGAAAAAGAAUUGAAACUGACAUGAGCAAGUCCAUGACAUGAGACACAGGGGCACAAAAAUGCUGAAGAAAAAUAUGUUCACGUGGUCCUUCUUCAAAUGCGAGGGGAACAGGAAAUGAUAAAGAGAAACCUGCAGCACUGAGUACCAGACUGGAAAACUACCAUGUAGAAAACAACCAACGAGCCAGAGUCUGGUCAUGCCUAUCCGUUCAUGUGUUGCCACUAUGACACGUGUUGCUUUCCUCAAACUCCUGGUCAUUGUGCUGAUGGCCUUCAUCAUUUGUCUCCCGCAGUUCUUCACUUCAGAUCAAGCAUUGAGCAUUGACUCUCCCUGCUUCCGGUUACAUCUGUGCCUGGAACCCACUGGCUUGGGGGCCAAUGCCUCUCAGACCCAGCUGGUCAGAGACACAGGGGGGGGGCCCUAUGUAGGCUGUGUGAACAUCAGCGCUUGUGAAGGGGUGGCCAACAGGACACUCUCCAGCAUCGAAUGCUUCCUGUGUCAGGAGGAGAUGGACCUGCAUUCUAUUCCUCGCAACAGCUCACAGUCAGCAGAGCAACAGCUGUUCUUCUGCUGCGGUAACUGCACAGUGCAAGGGCAUGCAACCGGCACAGCUCCCAGACCCAACCGCACUCUGGCAACAAACUCAACCAGAUGUAAUGCUUCCCUUUCCAGAACACUCGCAUCGAAAGGUAGGGUCUCCUUCCUAGCCCAUUGAAAGGUAGGGUCUCCUUCCUAACUCAUUGAAAGGUAUGGUCUCCUUCCUAGCUCAUUGAAAGUGGAUAAAAAAAAUAUUAAGAUAAAACAUCAUCAGCGAUGCCUAACACCACAGCGAAUACAAAUGUCUCUAUAUAGACAAGAGAAUUGUAAAAUGAAUUGCCCCCACUCUACUGAAAGGUGUUAUGCAUUAAAUGGCAUCCCUAAGCACGGACUAUUUCAUGGCAUCAUGUAAAUCCACUGCUGGCUUUAGAACAUCCACAGCAGAGUGGCUGUUUUUGAAAAACCACAAUAUUUAAAUGGCUUUUGAAGAAAUUAAUAUGAUCUGUUUGGCUCUGCUGGUGUUCCAAAUAGGCUAGUGGAAGAGGUUGGAUAUACUAUGACUGUUAUUUCAUACUAUUAUUUAUGAGAAAAAAAAUCAAGGCAACCAUGAUUAAGAGUUUACAGUACACAGCAUGCAAUACAACACGGUACAAUAAAAAUACUGGUACAACCAUAAAAUAGAAUAAGUCUUGAUGAAUUUAACAACAGCACCUUAUCUGUCAUAGAAAGAACAUACAGUACAUGAUAUGUUUCAAAGCAAACUAAAGCUGUGCCUGUUUCUGGAGUAAGUUCUAACACCAGCGAGCAUGCACUAGAACUAAGACCCAUCUUCCCAAAUUCAGCAGAAGUUUUGGACCCCUGAGCAUUUCCUUGAAAAUACAUGUAAUUUCCUGUGUUGACAGAGAGCUGGGGUAGUGGCAGAAGAGUGGUGUGGCUCGUGCUCAUCCUGAUGGUCAUCAUCCUGGUCAUAGGCAGCGUUGUGUAUAAAGUUCACAUGGAAAACAAAGGCUGCGUGGAAAAUUGAAAUUGGCACACGUCCCGUAAAUACUGUGCGUCAGUCCAGUGCCACAUGCAUUUAUGUUCACUGUCCUGUUGGCAGAGGAUGUGCCGCUCCUCAUCAGUGUUGACCAGUGCCCGGAGGUCUCCGUCAGAAAUCUGAAUGGUGCAAGACUCUCCGCAAUUCUUGAAGAAACAGCAUUUACUGAGCCAAACUAGAAACAGAGAAAGGAGAGCACUACGGUCUUCAUUCCUAACAACGAUUCUGUCAGCGUUCCUACCUGGAAAUGAAUCCUCCUAUUCUGGAAGGGAAUAUCCUGAGGUGGACUUCUCCUACUUAUGUCAGAAAACCCUGCUGUGCAGGCACAAAGGAGACUUCACUGAGGCGUCAGCUAAUGGUUGAUUAAUACAAAAGGAAACAUACUGUCCAUGAACUGUGCUGCACAGAGCAUAUUGGUUCAGUUAUAAGCUUUAUAAGCUCCAUUUCACACCGUUAGCAUGGAGACCUGUUGUUGGUGGGUGGCUGGUUAGGGGAUUUCUGCUCUCAGCUCUACCGGUUCAGUACCUGUGUGGUUAUACCAGUAACCACACUGAGUCAUACCAGUAACUUUUGUUUUACGACUAGAAAAUUGAUACUACACAUGGGUUAUGAUUCUGUGAACAAGCAGGACUUGUGUCAUUUUGUGACUAAUUAAAUAUUGCAUUAAUUUAAUUAAAUUUUUAUAUAUAUAUAUACAUAUAUAUAUAACAUUAUAUAACUGUUUUUCUAAAAGUAUGCUAAGUAAGGCUAUUUGUUUCAUGUACAGAUUUUUUAAUAAAUACAAAAUUACUAAUG